UACGUAGGGUGCGAGCGUUGUCCGGAAUUACUGGGCGUAAAGAGCUCGUAGGUGGUUUGUCGCGUUGUUCGUGAAAACCGGGGGCUUAACCCUCGGCGUGCGGGCGAUACGGGCAGACUGGAGUACUGCAGGGGAGACUGGAAUUCCUGGUGUAGCGGUGGAAUGCGCAGAUAUCAGGAGGAACACCGGUGGCGAAGGCGGGUCUCUGGACAUUUCCUGACGCUGAGGCACGAAAGCCAGGGGAGCAAACGGG
rnacentral:rRNA from 1 species